rnacentral:rRNA from 11 species
GGAAACCACAAAAGUGAUUUACACGUGACGAACUGAAACAUCUCAUUAGUUACAGGAAAAGAAAUCAACCGAGAUGCCGUAAGUAUUGGCGAAAGAAAGCGGCAAUGGCACGAUACACACUAAAACAAGAAGCUGUUUAGAGAAAGCACCAAAGAAGGUACGAGUCCUGUAUUAAAUGUGAGUGUGUAUUGACAAGUAGAACGUUCACUGUUUGAACACGGGAGAACCACCUUCUAAGCCAAAUUAUGCUUUGGAGAUCGAUAGCGAACAAGUACUGUGAAGGAAAGGUGAAAAGAACCUGAUAAAAAGGGAGUGAAAAGAUCUGAAUCAAAACACUGACAAGCAAUCGAAGCCUCUGAGUUCGCAACCCCAGCGGCUCAUAUACGGGUGACGGUGUACCUUUUGCAUAAUGGGUCAGCGACUAAAUGAAACAAGCAAGCUUAAGCACUGAUGUGGAAGCAAAGCAAAAGCAAGUAAACAAUCUGCGUACGGAGGCCCACUCGUGCACUACGGACGCGGGGACCAAAGAUCGAAAUGACUUUGAUGAAGAGGGUGUACCACUGUUUGGUUCAUUUGACCCGAAACUAAGUGAUCUCGCCUUGAGCAGGUUGAAGGAAGCGUAAUACG